CGGAUAGUUGCUUUCCAAAAAAUUCAAAAGAUAUCCAGUAAAUGUGUUUGAAGCUCCAUCUUACCAACGGAUAGAAAACUAUGCCCAAAAGAUUCAUAACGGAUCAAUAUCGCACUGCCGAACGGUACAGCGUCCUUUUCACUUUUGGAUAAAUCAGCGCCAUCGUACGGAGGAAAGAAGAAUCAUAACGAAGAACAGAUCAGGAUGAAAAAGGACGAGAAUAUUGUACGAUAUUUGUUAGAUGGCGUUCUCAAAACAAGCAUACGGAAUACCGCUCAUGUCAAUAAUCAAUAUAUUGUAACGUGUUACGCCACUGCAGAUAUUUUCCGGGCGAAUCAAAGUAAUUUCGAAAUAAUGCAGGCGCGACGCAUACAUGUGUCGAAGGCUUCUUCAGAUAAUUUGAAGAUAAUUCAUUCUGAUUUAGAGGUUCGUUGUAAACAAUUGGUUUUUGCCUGAAAUUAAUAAAUUAAUGGUUUUGUGUUUAACCCUUAAUAUACAAGGGUUUUUGGUUUGGAGAGAAAACUCAAUUUUUGGUUUGGAGUGAAGACUCAAUUUUUGGUUUGGAGAGAAAAAACUCAAUUUUUGGUUUGGAGAGAAAUCUCAAUUUAUGGUUUGGAGAAAAAUCUCAAUUUUUGGUUUGAAGAGAAGUUCCAUUUUCUUGGUUUGGAAAGAAGUUCCAUUCAGGUUGGAUUUGAAGAAGGAAAUGCCAGUUUUUCUUUGAAGAGAGAAUUAGCAGUACUGAAGAUAGUGAUCCCGAUUCAGUUGAAAUACUGAAGAUAAGUUCAGAAAGUUUUUCUUUGUAAAUUUGGACACUGUUUGUAAAUUAGAAAUUUUAUUUUGAUUUGAAAUAGAUGGUUGGUUGGAA